UACGUAGGGUCCAAGCGUUAAUCGGAAUUACUGGGCGUAAAGCGUGCGCAGGCGGUUUUGUAAGUCUGUCGUGAAAGCCCCGGGCUCAACCUGGGAAUUGCGAUGGAGACUGCAAGGCUUGAAUCUGGCAGAGGGGGGUAGAAUUCCACGUGUAGCAGUGAAAUGCGUAGAGAUGUGGAGGAACACCGAUGGCGAAGGCAGCCCCCUGGGUCAAGAUUGACGCUCAUGCACGAAAGCGUGGGGAGCAAACAGG
rnacentral:rRNA from 1 species